GAUGAACGCUCGCGAUAGGCUUAACACAUGCAAGUCGAGGGGCAGCACAAGGUAGCUUGCUAUCUGGGUGGCGACCGGCGCACGGGUGCGUAACGCGUAUGCAACUUGCCCUAUACAGGAGGAUAACCCGUCGAAAGACGGACUAAUACUGCGUAUGCUCACAACUUGGCAUCAAGUGGUGAGGAAAGAAAUUCGGUAUAGGAUAGGCAUGCGUCCCAUUAGCUUGUUGGUGAGGUAACGGCUCACCAAGGCAACGAUGGGUAGGGGAACUGAGAGGUUUAUCCCCCACACUGGUACUGAGACACGGACCAGACUCCUACGGGAGGCAGCAGUGAGGAAUAUUGGGCAAUGGGCGCGAGCCUGAACCAGCCAAGUCGCGUGAAGGAUGACUGUCUUAUGGAUUGUAAACUUCUUUUAUACGGGAAUAACAAGAGUCACGUGUGACUCCCUGCAUGUACCGUAUGAAUAAGCAUCGGCUAACUCCGUG
rnacentral:rRNA from 1 species